rnacentral:rRNA from 1 species
GCUUAGAAGCAGCCACUCAUUUAAAGAGUGCGUAAUAGCUCACUGGUCGAGUGAUCCUGCGCCGAAAAUUUCCGGGGCUAAAACGUACUACCGAAGCUACGGCAUCAUUUAUGAUGGGUAGGGGAGCUUCGUAUGCAGGCUGAAGCAUGACCGUAAGGACAUGUGGACAGUAUACGAGUGAGAAUGUUGGCAUGAGUAGCGAGAUGUGGGUGAGAAUCCCACAGGCCGUAAACCCAAGGUUUCCAGGGGAAGGUUCGUCCGCCCUGGGUUAGUCAGGACCUAAGCCGAGGCCGAAAGGCGUAGGUGAUGGACAACAGGUUGAUAUUCCUGUACCGCCAAUAAGCGUUUGAGAGAUGGAGUGACACAGUAGGAUAAGCUAACCGUACUGUUGGUUAUGUACGGCUAAGCAUUGAGGCAGUCUAAAUAGGCAAAUCCGUUUAGACAAUGCUAGGAUGUGAUGGGGAAGCCCUUCGGGGCGAAGUAGCUGAUUUCACACUGUCAAGAAAAGCUUCUAUCGAGUUUAAAGGCGCCCGUACCGUAAACCGACACAGGUGGGUGAGGAGAGUAUCCUAAGGCCAGCGAGAGAACUAUUGUUAAGGAACUCGGCAAAAUGACCCCGUAACUUAGGGAGAAGGGGUGCCUGUCUAUGACAGGCCGCAGAGAAUAGGCCCAAGCGACUGUUUACCAAAAACACAGGUUUCUGCUAAGUCGCAAGACGAUGUAUAGGAGCUGACGCCUGCCCGGUGCUGGAAGGUUAAGGGGAUCUGUUAGAGCAAUCGAAGCAGUGAACUUAAGCCCCAGUAAACGGCGGCCGUAACUAUAACGGUCCUAAGGUAGCGAAAUUCCUUGUCGGGUAAGUUCCGACCCGCACGAAAGGCGUAACGAUUUGGGCACUGUCUCAACAAUAGACUCGGUGAAAUUGUAAUCCCGGUGAAGAUGCCGGGUACCUGCGACAGGACGGAAAGACCCCAUGGAGCUUUACUGUAGCUUGACGUUGGGUCUUGGUACUACAUGUACAGGAUAGGUGGGAGACUAUGAAGCAUGGACGCCAGUCUGUGUGGAGUCAUCCUUGGGAUACCACCCUUGUAGUACUGGGAUCCUAACCAUAGGCCUUGAAUCAGGUCUUGGAACACCGUCAGGUGGGCAGUUUGACUGGGGCGGUCGCCUCCUAAAAAGUAACGGAGGCGCUCAAAGGUUUCCUCAGCACGGUCGGAAAUCGUGCGAAGAGUGUAAAGGCAAAAGGAAGCUUGAUUGCAAGACAUACAGGUCGAGCAAGGACGAAAGUCGGACUUAGUGAUC